rnacentral:rRNA from 1 species
GGAUGAACGCUAGCGGCAGGCUUAAUACAUGCAAGUCGAGGGGCAGCAUGGUGUAGCAAUACACUGAUGGCGACCGGCAAACGGGUGCGGAACACGUACGCAACCUUCCCAAAACUGGUGAAUAGCCCUCCGAAAGGAGGAUUAAUACACCGUAACAUAUAGAUGUGGCAUCACAACUAUAUUAUAGUUUUAAUGGUUUUGGAUGGGCGUGCGCCUGAUUAGGUAGUUGGCGGGGUAACGGCCCACCAAGCCUGCGAUCAGUAACUGGUGUGAGAGCACGACCAGUCACACGGGCACUGAGACACGGGCCCGACUCCUACGGGAGGCAGCAGUAAGGAAUAUUGGUCAAUGGACGAAAGUCUGAACCAGCCAUGCCGCGUGAAGGAUGAAGGCCCUCUGGGUUGUAAACUUCUUUUAUCUGGGACGAAAAAAGAUCAUUCUUGAUCACUUGACGGUACCAGAGGAAUAAGCACCGGCUAACUCCGUGCCAGCAGCCGCGGUAAUACGGAGGGUGCAAGCGUUAUCCGGAUUCACUGGGUUUAAAGGGAGCGUAGGUGGGCAGGUAAGUCAGUGGUGAAAUCUCCGAGCUUAACUCGGAAACUGCCAUUGAUACUAUUUGUCUUGAAUAUUCUGGAGGUAAGCGGAAUAUGUCAUGUAGCGGUGAAAUGCUUAGAUAUGACAUAGAACACCAAUUGCGAAGGCAGCUUGCUACGGAAUUAUUGACACUGAGGCUCGAAAGCGUGGGGAUCAAACAGGAUUAGAUACCCUGGUAGUCCACGCCCUAAACGAUGGAUACUCGACAUCAGCGAUACACUGUUGGUGUCUGAGCGAAAG